UAUCGAUCAUCGAUAUAAUCCCUAUGAGUCCCACCAUCCACCAGUGACACCUAGCAGCAUGUAGUGGCUACCCAGCAGAAUAGAAUGAUGAACCUCUAGGUGCAGUUAUCAUGUGAUACAGUCCUACUAUCAUGGAUCCCUACAGGACGGAGGUCAUGGAUAACUCGUCAAACCCCUUCGUCUGUCAUAUGUCAAGAUUUAUUGGACUCGAGUUCGAUAGUGGAAAACUCUUUCUCUACUUUAUAUUACUGCCCUGGCCAAGGUCUUAGUACUCAGUCUAACAAUCACAUAGGAUCACUCCUCUUCUACCAAGGUCG
rnacentral:lncRNA from 1 species